rnacentral:miRNA from 1 species
UGAGGUAGUAGGUUUUGUAGUU